rnacentral:rRNA from 1 species
CCUAUACAUGCAGUCGAGCGACAGAUAAGGAGCUUGCUCCUUUGACGUUAGCGGCGGACGGGUGAGUAACACGUGGAUAACCUACCUAUAAGACUGGGAUAACUUCGGGAAACCGGAGCUAAUACCGGAUAACAUAUUGAACCGCAUGGUUCAAUAGUGAAAGGCGGCUUUGCUGUCACUUAUAGAUGGAUCCGCGCCGUAUUAGCUAGUUGGUAAGGUAACGGCUUACCAAGGCAACGAUACGUAGCCGACCUGAGAGGGUGAUCGGCCACACUGGAACUGAGACACGGUCCAGACUCCUACGGGAGGCAGCAGUAGGGAAUCUUCCGCAAUGGGCGAAAGCCUGACGGAGCAACGCCGCGUGAGUGAUGAAGGUCUUCGGAUCGUAAAACUCUGUUAUCAGGGAAGAACAAAUGUGUAAGUAACUGUGCACAUCUUGACGGUACCUGAUCAGAAAGCCACGGCUAACUACGUGCCAGCAGCCGCGGUAAUACGUAGGUGGCAAGCGUUAUCCGGAAUUAUUGGGCGUAAAGCGCGCGUAGGCGGUUUUUUAAGUCUGAUGUGAAAGCCCACGGCUCAACCGUGGAGGGUCAUUGGAAACUGGAAAACUUGAGUGCAGAAGAGGAAAGUGGAAUUCCAUGUGUAGCGGUGAAAUGCGCAGAGAUAUGGAGGAACACCAGUGGCGAAGGCGACUUUCUGGUCUGUAACUGACGCUGAUGUGCGAAAGCGUGGGGAUCAAACAGGAUUAGAUACCCUGGUAGUCCACGCCGUAAACGAUGAGUGCUAAGUGUUAGGGGGUUUCCGCCCCUUAGUGCUGCAGCUAACGCAUUAAGCACUCCGCCUGGGGAGUACGACCGCAAGGUUGAAACUCAAAGGAAUUGACGGGGACCCGCACAAGCGGUGGAGCAUGUGGUUUAAUUCGAAGCAACGCGAAGAACCUUACCAAAUCUUGACAUCCUUUGACCGCUCUAGAGAUAGAGUCUUCCCCUUCGGGGGACAAAAUGACAAGUGGGUGCAUGGGUUGU